GGAUGUGAGGGUGAUCUGGCUGUGACAUCUGUCACCCCAUUGAUUACCAGGAUUGAUUCGGCUGACCUGGCAGGCUAGGCAGGUGUUCUCUUCCUCCUUCACCACUCCAUGUGUGUCUCCCAGGAAACUAUGUGCUCUAUUGAAGAGGAUGACCACCCACGAUAGAGGAGGACCUUGCCUCAGUCAACAGUUCAUGAGUAGCAGUGCUCCCCUGCUAGAACCUCCAAACAAGCUCUCAAUAAUAAACAUAAUCCAGCUUUAUUUUAUUAAAGUAUGUUUUACCAUAGUAUGACCAAGGAAUCUAUAAUCAUUCUACUUGGAUCUUUUCCAAUGCUGACAGU
rnacentral:snRNA from 1 species